UACGAAGGGGGCUAGCGUUGCUCGGAAUCACUGGGCGUAAAGGGUGCGUAGGCGGGUCUUUAAGUCAGGGGUGAAAUCCUGGAGCUCAACUCCAGAACUGCCUUUGAUACUGAGGAUCUUGAGUUCGGGAGAGGUGAGUGGAACUGCGAGUGUAGAGGUGAAAUUCGUAGAUAUUCGCAAGAACACCAGUGGCGAAGGCGGCUCACUGGCCCGAUACU
rnacentral:rRNA from 1 species